rnacentral:rRNA from 1 species
UAUGCCUGAGACCUGAUGGGCGCCCACAUGUGGGUGAUCCGGUGAUCCUAUGCUGCCUAGAAAAGCAUCGGCGCGAGGUUCAAACUGCCCGUACCCUAAACCGACACAGGUGGUCAGGUAGAGAAUACUAAGGCGAUCGAGAGAAUCAUGGUUAAGGAACUCGGCAAAAUGCCCCCGUAACUUCGGGAGAAGGCCCCAACCUUGAGCACCACUCGCUGGUGUGAGGGGAUCGGGGCCGCAGAGACCAGGGGGAAGCGACUGUUUAUCAAAAACACAGGUCCAUGCGAAGUCGUAAGAGAUGUAUAUGGACUGACUCCUGCCCGGUGCUGGAAGGUUAAGGGGACCCGUUAGCUUCGGCGAAGCGGAGAACUUAAGCCCCAGUAAACGGCGGUGGUAACUAUAACCAUCCUAAGGUAGCGAAAUUCCUUGUCGGGUAAGUUCCGACCUGCACGAAUGGAGUAACGACUUCCCCGCUG